GACAAGAUGGCCGAGUUGGUCUAAGGCGCUAGCUUCAGGUGCUAGUAUCGAAAGAUGCGUGGGUUCGAAUCCCACUCUUGUCA